AUUGAACGCUGGCGGCAUGCCUUACACAUGCAAGUCGAACGGCAGCACGGGAGCAAUCCUGGUGGCGAGUGGCGAACGGGUGAGUAAUGUAUCGGAACGUACCUUUCAGUGGGGGAUAACGUAGCGAAAGUUACGCUAAUACCGCAUAUUCUGUGAGCAGGAAAGCAGGGGAUCGCAAGACCUUGCGCUGAUUGAGCGGCCGAUAUCAGAUUAGCUAGUUGGUGAGGUAAAGGCUCACCAAGGCGACGAUCUGUAGCGGGUCUGAGAGGAUGAUUCCGCCACACUGGAACUGAGACACGGUCCAGACUCCUACGGGAGGCAGCAGUGGGGAAUUUUGGACAAUGGGCGCAAGCCUGAUCCAGCCAUGCCGCGUGAGUGAAGAAGGCCU
rnacentral:rRNA from 1 species